CGCGAGAUCAGCGUGUUACCCUGGUAUAAGUGANUCUUAUUGGANUACUNCAUCAUAGAGGGUGAAANUCCCGUCUGUGACCAGGAGUUAGCCGCGUACGAUCCGUGUUCGCAGAGUCGCGUUGUUUGGGAUUGCAGCGCUAAAUNNGAGGUAAAUUUCUUCUAAAGCUAAAUAUCGACGAGAGACCGAUAGCGAACAAGUACCGUGAGGGAAAGAUGAAAAGAACUUUGAAAAGAGAGUUAAAAAGUACUUGAAAUUGCUAAGAAGGAAGCACUGGAAACCAGUCAUGCUUACGUACAAAANCUUUCGUUCCUCGAGUGGAGUUGGUAGGAGAGCUUUAAACCUCAUGCUAAUUUCAUAAAAGCGCGUUUGUAGCUGUCCGUAGGCAGAGUCAGAAUCAAUUUGAUCCGCAAGAGAAAGCUAUGACAACGGUAGGACCUCUUUAGCAAUAGAGUUGGUCUGUUUAGUGUCGUAGUCCUAUUGUGGGUUAGAUUGAGGUACCAUCUAAAGGCGGAUCGCGGUUCCCUGCGUCUGGGAGCAGAGGGAGAUUGGACAACAAAGUUGUGCGUUUCCCGACGUUCUUACUACAAAGGAUGAAUCANCUGCAGCCUUCGAGAUUCUGACGAAAUGGUUUUCAUUGACCCGUCUUGA
rnacentral:rRNA from 1 species